GGCUGCGAGUCAAAUUCAGUUUUCAUCCUUUCAUGGUGGAGCUGGCCCAGAUGGCUGCCACAGCAAGCUCUGCUGUUCAUGGGCCCUGUGUCCCUGCAUUGUGGACAUUUAUAACUAUAUCAAGUU